GACAAGCGCUGGCGGCGUGCCUAAUACAUGCAAGUCGAACGACGAAAGCCUUCGGGCAAGUAAGAGUGGCGCACGGGCGAGGAACACGUAGAUAAUCUGCCCUUCAGUGGGGAAUAACUCUCCGAAAGGAGUGCUAAUACCGCAUAAGACCACAAGCUCUGCGGAGCAAGGGGUUAAAGGAUUUAUUCGCUGAAGGAUGAGUCUGCGUCCGAUUAGCUAGUUGGUGAGGUAAUGGCUUACCAAGGCAAUGAUCGGUAGAUGGUCUGAGAGGAUGAUCAUCCGCACUUGAACUUAGACGCGGUCCAGACUCCUACGGGAGGCAGCAGUAGGGAAUAUUGCACAAUGGGGGAGACCCUGAUGCAGCAACGCCGCGUGAGUGAUGAAGGCUCUAGGAUCGUAAGGCUCUGUCGUAUGGGAAGAAAAAAAUGACGGUACCAUACAAGAAAGGACCGGCCAACUUCGUGCCAGCCGCCGCCGUAA
rnacentral:rRNA from 1 species